GACGAACCGUGCGAACGUUGUUCGGAAUCACUGGGCUUAAAGGGCGCGUAGGCGGCCCUCUUGGUCGUGGGUGAAAUCCCCCAGCUUAACUGGGGAAGGGCUUACGAUACCGGGGGGCUCGAGGGAGGAAGGGGCGGUCGGAACUGUCGGUGGAGCGGUGAAAUGCGUUGAUAUCGACAGGAACGCCGGUGGCGAAAGCGGACCGCUGGCCCUCUUCUGACGCUGAGGCGCGAAAGCCAGGGGAGCGAACGGG
rnacentral:rRNA from 1 species